rfam:Populus trichocarpa scaffold_19_contig_207, whole genome shotgun sequence.
UCUAUAACUCUAUAUUUGGGCUGAACACCAAAUAAUAUCUGGGUUGUAGGACAAAUUCAGUCUUCUCUUUUGUUGUUAAGAUUUAAACAUAAAAGCAGUAAUAUUAAGUCUUGAGCUCUUCAUGAAUGUUUUAGGCAUACAUCUUAGCUUUACAUC